GUUAUUUUUUCAUUUACUAACUUUCUUUGUGAUAUUUGCUUCCGUUCGGACUAAUAAACCAGAUAUAAUCAUACCAGGGUUGAAUGAGGCUGAACAAAAGGAAUAUACAAAAUGCCUUAUAGGUGAG
rnacentral:sRNA from 1 species